GCACUUUAAGCAGUGAAGAAGACUCUGUGGUUAAUACCCACGGACGAUGACAUUAGCUGCAGAAUAAGCACCGGCUAACUCUGUGCCAGCAGCCGCGGUAAUACAGAGGGUGCAAGCGUUAAUCGGAAUUACUGGGCGUAAAGGGAGCGUAGGUGGCUCUAUAAGUCAGAUGUGAAAUCCCCGGGCUCAACCUGGGAACUGCAUCUGAAACUGUAGAGCUAGAGUAUGUGAGAGGAAGGUAGAAUUCCAGGUGUAGCGGUGAAAUGCGUAGAGAUCUGGAGGAGUACCGAUGGCGAAGGCAGCCUUCUGGCAUAAUACUGACACUGAGGCUCGAAAGCGUGGGUAGCAAACAGGAUUAGAUACCCUGGUAGUCCACGCCGUAAACGAUGUCUACUAGUCGUUGG
rnacentral:rRNA from 1 species